UUAAGUUCAGCGGGUAUCCCUACCUGAUCCGAGGUCAAAGACGGUAAAUAGCUUUACGGUCGCGACCACGACGCUCCAAUUACGCAUUGUACUGCGCGUUGAGGUGCCGAGACCGCUGCCAAUGACUUUGGGGCGAGUCCACGCGCAAAGGCGGGACAGACGCCCAACACAAGCAGAGCUUGAGGGUGUAGAUGACGCUC
rnacentral:misc_RNA from 1 species